GAAAGAGGCUCGAAAGCACCGAGAACUGCUAAUUUUCGCUACCCCAGUUAAACUCCGGGGCUCAUUCG
rnacentral:tRNA from 1 species